ACAUAAGCAGUAGGUGUCUGAAGGCUGGAUUUUCAAUACAGGCAUAAAAGAUAGUAUUUAAAUAAAACAGAAAGCAGAAUUUGAAUUGUCUUGGCUCAGGUUGGGACAUCCACUGAAUCUGAUGUUCCUGGUACUGAAGACCCUUGGACCCACCUAGCACGGCUGUAGACUUUGCGGUCUGGCAUACACUGGGAUAUCUGUGGACAGAACUCCCCUGCAUGGUGAAGCUUUUUUGUUGGCUGCACAGGAGAGUGACUGUACAGUUGGCUCUAGUGUGGCUGCACACUAGACUGUCUCUCGAAAGGAGCUGAGCUUCAUUCCUAUCCCUAGGAAAACUUCAGCUAAAGUUAACUUGGUUGGAUGCCAUGUCUGCUUCCUUUCAUUUCAAAGUAGGAAAAGUCAGAAUGAGAACACUAGUUCUUCACUUCAGUUCUGCUGUCAUGAGGAUCGAGUACCUGUAGAGCUCUAUCAUAGGGCUACAGGUAACACUCUUGUAUAAACUGGAGCAAAAAUGUUUGCCACAGUCCAGACCCUGAAAUAAAAUGGACAUUUAGCAAAAGAUGACCAUUUUCAAGGUUACAUCCGGAGUGGGAAGAAAACACCACAGAUUUUGCAUCUUUGUGGCGUAUCUUGAAGAUGUUCCAGCAAAGUCAUCAGUUUGGACUGUGCCCAACAGAUUUGUACAAGGGGAAAGAAUAAGAGGAAAGAAAAUGAACUCCUUAUUCUAUCCCACUCCACCAAAAUGCAAUCACAUCCAUGGAUUUUGUCAGAGG
rnacentral:lncRNA from 1 species